rnacentral:rRNA from 1 species
UACAGAGGGUGCGAGCGUUAAUCGGAUUUACUGGGCGUAAAGGGCGCGUAGGCGGUGAGAUGAGUGUGGUGUGAAAGCCCCGGGCUUAACCUGGGAAGUGCAUCGCAAACGAUCUGACUGGAGUAUAUGAGAGGGUGGCGGAAUUUCCGGUGUAGCGGUGAAAUGCGUAGAGAUCGGAAGGAACACCAGUGGCGAAAGCGGCUUCCUGGUCCGACACCGACGUCAGGCACGAAAGCGUGGGGAGCAAACAGG